rnacentral:pre_miRNA from 1 species
UGAGGAGGACACUGUGCCUGAGAUACAGAGGACUAAUCUGGGUAAUGUUGUGCUCCUCCUG